UACGUAGGGUGCGAGCGUUGUCCGGAAUUAUUGGGCGUAAAGAGCUCGUAGGCGGUGUGUCACGUCGGCCGUGAAAACCUGGGGCUUAACUCUGGGCGUGCGGUCGAUACGGGCAUCACUAGAGUUCGGCAGGGGAGACUGGAAUUCCUGGUGUAGCGGUGAAAUGCGCAGAUAUCAGGAGGAACACCGGUGGCGAAGGCGGCAUCCUGGACCGGCAUUGACGCUGAGGCGCGAAAGCCAGGGGAGCAAACGGG
rnacentral:rRNA from 1 species